AUAUUAUCAAGAGUGGAGUAGAGAACGGCUCGUUAAUCCCACAGCAACCUGCAGUAUGUAAGGUGCUAAUACCGGCAAAGCAAAAGCUUUGAGUGAUGAUUU
rnacentral:ncRNA from 2 species